rnacentral:rRNA from 1 species
AAGCGCUCAUGACCAGACUUGGGCUUGGUUGAUCAUCCAGGGUUCUCCCUGGUGCACUCUUCCAGCCCAGGCCAGCAUCAGUUCGCUGUGGGGGAUAAAGGCUUUGGGAAUGUGGCUCCUCCGGGAGUGUUAUAGCCCGCUGCAGAAUAUCCUUGGGGGGACCGAGGUUCGCGCUCUGCAAGGAUGCUGGCGUAAUGGUCAUCAGCGA